rnacentral:lncRNA from 1 species
AAGGAAUGGCAUCUGCUGCUGCUGCAUAGUGCAUGAACUCUGCCAGUUAUCUUGCUUUAUUGGAGAUGGAUGAGAUUCUGAGUCCCCCGUGCACUCUUCACUUCUCACACUCGUCCUGCAGAAGUGAUGCCCCCACACACUGUCCCUGUGGCAGUGAGGUGCCUCCAGCAAAGCACAUUUGCUGCCUCACCCCUCAUGGCGCUGACAUAUACAGACAACUGGAGAAAGUAAGAGAAGAUGGAACACUCCAAACAAUGCUGAAAUAAAAAGUAGCUUUUCCUUACCUUCAACUCGAGUAUUAAAAAUUAGAAGAAAUGGUCUAGAACAUGUAGAAAUUGUGACUUAGUCUUCU